AAUACGCCAGUGCGAGAGCAUUGUGUCGUCCAGCGCGCGCCUUCACGGCGGUACUCUUGCCCCCGCGCGGAGUAUCGAUACUCGAGACGUUUCCUGUCGACGAUGGCGACAGUCGAGGGAAAAAGAAAUGAAAAAUGGGGAUAGUCACAGCAAGAGGAAUGCUACACAUCUGCUUUCACAGGCCGAACUCGAGAUUUGUGUUAAAUUCCUUAGAUUCUCUCGAGUUGGUAUUUUAUCAAUUACAUUAACACCGGGAAGACAAAUCAGUAUAUAAUAUAAAUAUAUACAUUUAUAUAAUUAUGUAUAAAUAAAAUAUUUAAAAAUAUAUUUAAUGAUAUAAAAAAUAAAAUAUAUAUUAAAACUAGUAAUGAUAUUGCUUUAUUUCAUAACGAAAGAAGCCAAUAAUUGCUGUGGAAAUUAGAGUCUUCUUUAGAAAGAUAUUAAUUGCAGUUUAUGCGAUAAUCGAGAAUUGACGAUAAUUUGACGUUACGAAAGAUUGAAAACAACUUCCUGUAUUUCGAUGUGAUCAAUUAGAUAAGGAGGAAUGCGAAUAAUGAAAACGAUGAUGGUUCAUGUGAUUGAUUUAUUUUGUACUAUAUAAUAUAUUUAAUAUUUUUACGAUAUAUAUAUUUAAUAUUUUUACGCAGAAAAUUGAUGUGCAAUACAUUUAUUUAGCCGUAUACUUUUAAUAUUGACACAGGUACGUUACUUUUAAAAUGAGGAGCUCGCAGGUACUCUUUUCUAGUAACCACUAUAUAAAUACAUGAAAAAUCUAUGAAUGUGCCUUAAGUACAUACAAAUAAAUUAAACAAUAUCGAUUAAAAAUAUUACAGCAGUGCCAACAUUAUUCAGAGCGAGAAUCGCGCAUUGUAUUCUACAAUUGCACAUCUUAUAUUAUCAUUAUCACAUUUAAAUUAGAUCGUGUAUACAAAUCCUUAAUUAUUAUAGAUAAAAAAAUUUAUUAACUACUUGAAAGUAGUACGAUGUACAUGCACGUAUGGACUUGUAUAGACAUGAAAAUGUAUUUAUGAUACAGUAUAAAAAUUACAACAUUCAAUACAUGUAAUAUAAACUAAUAUUAAUAAUAAAACCAUGCAUCACAGGCGUACCGUGUCAAUUUCAAGUAAACUGCGUGACUGGAGAAGCAGAAAUGCAAUGAUUAUCUUUA